CAAGUCUGGUGCCAGCAGCCGCGGUAAUUCCAGCUCCAAUAGCGUAUAUUAAAAUUGUUGCAGUUAAAAAGCUCGUAGUUGAAUUUCUGCUACAUUGCCUAUUCUCCUUUACGAGUUUGGGUCUUUUGUGGCUUAUCUGGGUUCGCUUGCGUUCCCGGUGUUUUACUUUGAGAAAAUUAGAGUGCUCAAAGCAGGCUUUUGCCUUGAAUAGUUUAGCAUGGAAUAAUAAAGUAGGACUUUGGUUCUAUUUUGUUGGUUUUAGGUACCAAAGUAAUGGUUAAUAGGAACAGUUGGGGGCAUUCGUAUUUAACUGUCAGAGGUGAAAUUCUUAGAUUUGUUAAAGACGAACUACUGCGAAAGCAUUUGCCAAGGAUGUUUUCAUUAAUCAAGAACGAAAGUUAGGGGAUCGAAGACGAUCAGAUACCGUCGUAGUCCUAACCAUAAAC
rnacentral:rRNA from 1 species